rnacentral:rRNA from 1 species
UCAGAUUGAACGCUGGCGGCAGGCCUAACACAUGCAAGUCGAGCGGUAGAGAGAAGCUUGCUUCUCUUGAGAGCGGCGGACGGGUGAGUAAUGCCUAGGAAUCUGCCUGGUAGUGGGGGAUAACGUCCGGAAACGGACGCUAAUACCGCAUACGUCCUACGGGAGAAAGCAGGGGAUCUUCGGGCCUUGCGCUAUCAGAUGAGCCUAGGUCGGAUUAGCUAGUUGGUGGGGUAAUGGCUCACCAAGGCGACGAUCCGUAACUGGUCUGAGAGGAUGAUCAGUCACACUGGAACUGAGACACGGUCCAGACUCCUACGGGAGGCAGCAGUGGGGAAUAUUGGACAAUGGGCGAAAGCCUGAUCCAGCCAUGCCGCGUGUGUGAAGAAGGUCUUCGGAUUGUAAAGCACUUUAAGUUGGGAGGAAGGGCCAUUACCUAAUACGUGAUGGUUUUGACGUUACCGACAGAAUAAGCACCGGCUAACUCUGUGCCAGCAGCCGCGGUAAUACAGAGGGUGCAAGCGUUAAUCGGAAUUACUGGGCGUAAAGCGCGCGUAGGUGGUUUGUUAAGUUGGAUGUGAAAUCCCCGGGCUCAACCUGGGAACUGCAUUCAAAACUGACUGACUAGAGUAUGGUAGAGGGUGGUGGAAUUUCCUGUGUAGCGGUGAAAUGCGUAGAUAUAGGAAGGAACACCAGUGGCGAAGGCGACCACCUGGACUGAUACUGACACUGAGGUGCGAAAGCGUGGGGAGCAAACAGGAUUAGAUACCCUGGUAGUCCACGCCGUAAACGAUGUCAACUAGCCGUUGGGAGCCUUGAGCUCUUAGUGGCGCAGCUAACGCAUUAAGUUGACCGCCUGGGGAGUACGGCCGCAAGGUUAAAACUCAAAUGAAUUGACGGGGGCCCGCACAAGCGGUGGAGCAUGUGGUUUAAUUCGAAGCAACGCGAAGAACCCUACCAGGCCUUGACAUCCAAUGAACUUUCUAGAGAUAGAUUGGUGCCUUUGGGAACAUUGAGACAGGUGCUGCAUGGCUGUUGUCAGCUCGUGUCGUGAGAUGUUGGGUUAAGUUCCGUAACGAGCGCAACCCUUGUCCUUAGUUACCAGCACGUUAUGGUGGGCACUUUAAGGAGACUGCCGGUGACAAACCGGAGGAAGGGGGGGAUGACGUCAAGUCAUCAUGGCCCUUACGGCCUGGGCUACACACCUGCUACAAUGGUCGGUACAAAGGGUUGCCAAGCCGCGAGGUGGAGCUAAUCCCAUAAAACCGAUCGUAGUCCGGAUCGCAGUCUGCAACUCGACUGCGUGAAGUUGGAAUCGCUUGUAAUCGCGAAUCAGAAUGUCGCGGUGAAUACGUUC